rnacentral:misc_RNA from 1 species
AACGCAUAUUGCGCCCUCUGGUAUUCCGGGGGGCAUGCCUGUUCGAGCGUCAUUACAACCCUCAAGCUCUGCUUGGUAUUGGGUGUCACUGCUAGAGUACACCUUAAAAUCAGUGGCGGUACCACCUGGGCUUCUAGUAUAGUAAUGAUUCUUACUAUGGAGCCUUGGGUAGUUGCUAGCCAGCAACCACACUUUCAAUGGUUGACCUCGGAUCAGGUAGGGAUACCCGCUGAACUUAA